rnacentral:rRNA from 1 species
UUUUUUAUUUUACUUUGUUUUAUAGAGUGUUUUGUUUAAAUUAAAUAUUAUUUGUUUUAUUACUAUUUUUUGAAAAAAUUAUUUAUGUGAUAGUUUAUUAGUAUUGAAGAAGAACAAUUUUAAAUUUUUAUAAGAAAAAUUUAUUUUUUGUACCUUGUGUAUCAGGGUUUAUUAACAAAAUAUUAUUGUUUAAUUUUCUCGAAUUCAAAAGAUCUAUGGUUUUAUAUUUUUUAUUGUAAAAUAAAUAUUUUUAAUAUUACUAUAGAAGUGAAAUUCUUUACGAUUUUGAAUAUAUCUAGUUUUUGAAGAAAAAAAUUUAAUUUUAUUUUCAUUAAUGAAGAUGCUUUAUGUUUAGUUUCUUUUUUUUGAGAUUAUAUAAUCAUAGGGAUGAGCUUGUGAUUUUAUAUGCAUAUUUACUAAUAGUUUAUUUAUAGUAGGAUUAAAAGUUUCUUUCUUAAAGGGUUUUAUAACUUUUUAAUUUUAGUAAAAAAAUUUAGUUUUUGUUGCUUUUUUUAUUCAGAGAAUUAAAGUAAUCUUUUAUUUGUUGACAUAAUGAUAAAAUUAGUAUAUAUAGAAGUAUUUUGUUUAUUUGUUUCUAGGUUAAGUAAAGGAACUCGGCAAAUUUAUUUUUCACCUGUUUAUUAAAAACAUGGCCUUUUGAUUAUAAUUUAAGGUCAGGCCUGCCCAAUGAUUGAUUGAAUGGCCGCGGUAUUUUGACCGUGCAAAGGUAGCAUAAUCAUUAGUUUUUUAAUUGAAAGCUGGAAUGAAUGGUUAGAUGAGAAAAUGACUGUCUCUAUUUAAUUUUUAUAGAAUUUUAUUUUUAAGUUAAAAAGCUUAAAUUUUUAUAAAAGACGAGAAGACCCUAUAGAGUUUUAUAUUUAUUUUAUAAAUAAUGUUUAGUAUUAAAUUUUAUUUUAUAUUUAAAUAUUUGGUUGGGGUGAUUGGAAAAUUGAUUUAACUUUUUUGUUUUUUUUACAUUGAUAAAUGUGUGGUUGAUCCUUAUAAAAGAUUAUCAGAUUAAAUUACCUUAGGGAUAACAGCGUUAUUUUUCUUGAGAGUUCUUAUCGAAAGGAGAGAUUGCGACCUCGAUGUUGGAUUAAAAUAAAUUUUUGGUGUAGAAGCUGAAAAAUUAAGUCUGUUCGACUUUUGAAAUUUUACAUGAUCUGAGUUUAAACCGGUGUGAGCCAGGUUGGUUUCUAUCUUUAUAUAAUUUAAUAUUUUAGUACGAAAGGACCAGAUAUUAGUUUAAUUAAAUUUGUAUUUGAA